rnacentral:rRNA from 1 species
GAUGAACGCUGGCGGCGUGCUUAAUACAUGCAAGUCGAGCGAAAAGACGCGGAGCUUGCUCCUCUGACGUUAGCGGCGGACGUGUGAGUAACACGUGGAUCACCUCCCUAUAAGACUGGGAUCACUUCGGGAAACCGGAGCUAAUACCGGAUAAUAUCUUGAACCGCAGGGUUCAAUAGUGAAAGACGGUUUUGCUGUCACGUAUAGAUGGAUCCGCGCCGCAUUAGCUAGUUGGGAAGGUCACGGCUUACCAAGGCAACGAGGCGUGGCCGACCUGAUUGGCUGGUCGGCCACACUGGAACUGGGACGCGGUCCAGGCUACUACGGUACGCAGCAGUAGGGUAUCUGCCGCAAUGGGCGGGAACCUGACGGAGCGACGCCGCGUCUGAUACGGAGGUCUCCCGAUCGUAAUGCUCUGUUUCUGGGGAUGAACCAAUGUGUAAGUAGCUGUGCACGUCGUGACGGUACCGAAUCAAAAAGCCACGGCUAACUACGUG